rnacentral:rRNA from 1 species
UAAGGAAUAUUGGUCAAUGGACGCAAGUCUGAACCAGCCAUGCCGCGUGGAGGAUGAAGGUCCUCUGGAUUGUAAACUUCUUUUAUCUGGGACGAAACACUUCUUUUCUAAGAGGCCUGACGGUACCAGAUGAAUAAGCACCGGCUAACUCCGUGCCAGCAGCCGCGGUAAUACGGAGGGUGCAAGCGUUAUCCGGAUUCACUGGGUUUAAAGGGUGCGUAGGUGGGUAUGUAAGUCAGUGGUGAAAUCCCCGAGCUUAACUUGGGAACUGCCAUUGAUACUAUAUAUCUUGAAUACCGUAGAGGUAAGCGGAAUAUGUCAUGUGGCGGUGAAAUGCUUAGAUAUGACAUGGAACACCAAUUGCGAAGGCAGCUUACUAUGCGGUGAUUGACACUGAGGCACGAAAGCGUGGGUAGCAAACA